UACGGGGGGAGCAAGCGUUGUUCGGAUUUACUGGGCGUAAAGGGCGCGUAGGCGGCGCGACAAGUCACUUGUGAAAUCUCCGGGCUUAACCCGGAGCGGCCAAGUGAUACUGUAGUGCUAGAGUGCGGAAGGGGCUACUGGAAUUCUCGGUGUAGCGGUGAAAUGCGUAGAUAUCAGGAGGAACACCGAUGGCGAAGGCAGGUCUCUGGGCCAUAACUGACGCUGAGAAGCGAAAGCAUGGGGAGCGAACAGG
rnacentral:rRNA from 1 species